rnacentral:lncRNA from 1 species
GCCUUGUGGCUCCUCCUGAACCACCUGCUCUUCUCCUGUGGGGGGGUGUGAGACAGCAAGGGUGAGCUCACACAUGAUCAUCGCUCAACAAGUUGUGGGGGAAUAAUGUGACAUGAACUCACCAAAGGUGGGAGCUCAUGGAGUGUAAGGCUUAUCAAAGAGAAUGGUUAAAGCUGAGCAUUGCUUUUAAGUAGUUGGUCAAAAUUUUAUUAGCAAUUACUAAGUGUAAGUAAAUACCAAACCUUAAUAAAUAAUAGAACAAAAUUAAUAGUAAACCCAUGCAAUGCAAAUGACAAAAUUGAAUUUAAGUUCCAUAAUUUAAACAUCAGAGAGUCCUGAGCUGCUCAUGACCGUGAGCUCGGCUAGUAUACCAGUUUUACACUCUGCAGAGGUUGUACCCUUUACCCACAAGUCAUGUUACCCAUCUGCCAAGGGGUCGCGAAUCCCAUACACCUCUACCUAGGAAGCGCGGCAGGGCAACACUACGAGGCCUUUACAAAGUUCCACUAGCUUCCGAAAACCCGCUACAGUUUAUGGGAAGAUCCAGUACAGGGUUCCUGGCUGACCGCCAUCGCAGCAAAAUCAACCAGGGACCUCCCCGCACUGACCUCUCCCCUACUGCCCUUGCCCCUUUCGGGUAAGGUAGUCUUCCACUAGCUUUCCUAGUUAAUCAGCCAAGGGCGUCCCAUUAAACCCUUGUGGUGGCACGUGGUUCUCAAGUUAAGCUCUAUGUUCCAAUUAACAUUAAUGAUAACAACAUGAACAUAAACAGAAUAACAACAAGAAUUGGAACAUAGAGGUGAUAAAUGAUUAUCCCAAAACCAUAUAAAGCAAUAGCAAACUACCCAAGUGAUUCAGGGGUAAACAAGGUAAUGAGAUAAACAAUCUAGGGUGACCUAUUGGGUCCCAUCAAAAUUAACCUAUGCAUGGAUAAGUGAUAUUAAAGAACAUUAUUGGGUAAAAAGUGGUCAAGGGCACAACUUGCCUGGCACUUGAGAUUCCAGGUACCGACUUGCUUUUCAGAUGACACGUGUCCUCGCGCUAGUCGUAGCAAUACAAACAAACAUGGUAUAGAUAAAAUUAACAUCACACCAAACAUAAGAAUAUACUGCAUAAUAAUGAUCUACGCGUUGCUACGAGACUAACGCAACUUGAAUGGAUCAAAUCGGAGUUAAAACGAAGAAAUUAUGAAUUUCCGAAGUUAUUAGGUACUUCGAAUAGAUUAAUUCAAAUGAACAAUUUUAAUUCAAGUUUCAAGGCUAAAUAGUGUUACUAGUUGAUAGACAAUAUUAAAACAAAAUUAUAGGAACUGGAAUGGGUUAAAAAGGAUUUAGUAUGCAUUUUCUAUGAUUUAUACAAGUUUCUACCAUUAUUUUUGUAUUAAAAAUGAAUUUAGAAAGAAUUUCUCUGAUUUUAUUGAUUCCUGGACUGGGCGCACUAUUACAGGAAAAGUCAGGGGCCAAAACAGAAACCUUUCUAAGACUCAGGACGCUAUUGCACGGACGGCGGGUUAGUUUUUAAGUUCUACAGGGUUUCUUUUGCAAUUUGACCACGGCUAAAGGGUACUGGCCGCCUAGAGUCAUCCGAUCCGGAACCGAGGGCCCAGAUCAACCUAUUACUUAACCGAACCGGUACGCGGUUGUGGUCGUCGGAUUAAAAUCCGAUGGCCCCGAGAGGCACACGCCUACACCCGAUCGCGAACACACGCUAGAGAUCCAAGGGUUCCGAUCUUAUUUGGCACACAGGAUACCCAUUCCGAUCCAAACCACCCAUAGGCGAUCGGACGGCCAGAGGGCCGUCUUCCUCCCACGACACUGAUACACGGCAGCGUAGCCCACUGUGCGGCGGCGACACCUCACCGGAGAUGCACAGCAACAAGCCCGACGACCAAACCAUCCCCGCGAGAACGCGCAAAAUGAAAUUCGUAUAUUCGCGAAUCUGAUAGAGGGUGCCUUACCGCCAAUGGGGAUGCGAAGGUGCAUAGCCACGACGCACGGCGGAUCUGAAGUGAUCGAGCUGCGCCGACAAGAUAUUCCUUCCCCACCGCCUGUCGAUUUAGCCAUGUGAGGCCAAGGUCGCAUGCAGAGGACUCCCGCGAGCACCCGGAUUCCAGCAUGGAGUCCCAGGUAGCGGUGACACGAGGAUCAGCGCCGGCAGCUUGUUUCUCUCCCUCACUCUCUCUGGUUGCCACCCGCCAUAGAUACGCCAUGGACGAGCAUCCUGGCCAUGCCCGCGUUAGCGGGUGACGAAGGCUAGAGCUUCCCCGAGCGUACCUGCCACCCGCUCGAUCCCGUCGAUGGAGCCCGAUGCGAAUUCCCCAAUGGCGGCGGAUCUGCUCAACAAUGGUGGCGGCUCUCUGCGCAAUCUGAGGAAGCGGCUAGGGGAUAAGAAGGGGAGAGGGCUUUAGCUCGCCAUUUAUUGGCCGAGUGUGCGGGAGACAAAUCCGCCAAGCAGUUGCGCCAGCUGACCGAGAACUCCGUGGUGGCAGCGAUCGGGCGUCCGAAAUCGGCGGGGAGAAGACGAUGUUUGUUACGGGGCUCGAGUGGGAGGAGAGACUGGCGUUCCGGUCCCACGUGUAAGCGACUCAAGCGAGGUAGUCACACAGCGAGCGCGCGGCUGGCGAUAUGACGAGGUGGGACCCAGGCGUCAGCGACCGAGUACAGAAAACGCAGGCGCAGAGCGGAUGACAUGCGGGCCCCGCGGUGUCGGCGCCGACCCUGCAACUGGGCUGCGCGGCUGCGAGAGGAGACGAGGAUGUGGGCCGAAAACACGGGAUUUGGGCCCAGUCGAGCGCUUUUCCUUUUCCUUUUAUGUUUUCCUUUUCCUUUUAGUUUUCAAAUUCCAUUUUAAAUUCAGAUUUAAAUUCAAAUCUUGUGCCAGUUUAUCCUCAAUUUAUAUUGUGAAAUAAAAAGUACCAAUCUUAGAAGUAUAAUCACAUAUAUGUUGUUUAUAUUUUAUACCCUUUAUUCCUUUUCUCCAUAUUUCUAAAGUCCCCUUUAACUCUUAAAUUCUCAUCUAGGUAUUAAUGUAUUCUCUUUAUUUUAUAUAUUUAUAUAUUUUUUUGUAUAGUCACAAAAUACACUCCACAAACACAAUAUCCAGCAUGAUGCAUAAUUUUGAUGGCAUAUAUUCUUUUAUUAAUUAUUUGCUUUUGAAUAUGGUGUUCACAUAGGAUGAUGCAUAAAGGUUAAAUCCACAUAAGGAGAAAUUAUUUCUCUAUUGGUAUUAUUUCUAGCAAAUUACAAAGUGGGUGUUACAAAUCCUACCCCCCUUAAAAAUAAUCUCGUCCUCGAGAUUUAAGAAGAUCUAGGGAAAAGGUGGGGAAAAUCUAUGCGAAGCUCUUCUUCUCUUUCCCAAGUUGCUUCAUUUUCACCGUGGUGACUCCAUUGCACUUUGCACAUCUUUAUCACCUUAUUUCUUGUAACUCGAGUCAAAGUAUCCAAAAUCUUGAUCGGGUAUUCCGUGUAAGUCAAAUCACCUUGAACACUGAGUUCUUCCAUGGGUAACUGUUCCUCGGGAACACGGAGACAUUUUUUUUAGUUGAGAUACGUGAAACACAUUAUGCACAUCCGAUAGACUAGUAGGUAACUCGAGUUGGUAUGCCAUCUCCCCAACUCUUCUAAGGAUCAGGAAUGGUCCAAUAUAGCGAGGGGACAAUUUGCCCUUAACUUUGAAUCUCCUCAUUCCACGAAGUGAUGACACUUUGAGGUACACAUAAUCUCCUUCUUCAAAUUCCAGUGGCCUCCUUCUAUUAUCAGCAUAGCUCUUUUGUCUGGUUUGAGCUACUCUCAAAUUUUCUCAAAUUAUACGAACUUGACCUUCUGCUUCUUGAAUCAGUUCAGGCCCAAAGAAUUGUCUUUCUCCAGUUUGAUCCCAACAUAGAGGAGUCUUGCAUUUCCUGUCAUACAGAGUCUCAAAUGGUGACAUCUUCAGACUGGCCUAGUAACUAUUAUUAUAUGAGAACUCAGCACAAGGUAGACUCUUGUCCCAACUACUACCAUGCUGCAGGGCACAAGCUCUCAACAUGUCCUUUAAUACUUGAUUAGUCCUUUCAGUCUGUCCAUCAGUCUGAGGAUGGUAGGGCGAACUAAAAUUCAACUUCGUAUCCAUAUUCUCAUGAAAACUUUUCCAAAAUCUGGGGUAAACUAUGAUCCUCUAUCCAAAAUGAUCUUCUUCGGUAUACCAUGUAGAGACACAAUCCAAGCCAUAUAUAACUCUGCCAAUUGAGAUACCUUAUAAGUAGUCUUGACCGGAAUGAAAUGAGCCACUUUGGCCAGUCUAUCCACAAUCACCCAUAUAGCAUCAUAUCCUUUCUGGGUGCGAGGCAAUCCAGUAAUAAAAUCCAUACCAAUCUCUUCCCAUUUCCACUCGGGUAUCUUCAGUGGAUGCAAUAGUCCAGCUGGCCUCUGGUGUUCAGCCUUAACUCCUUGACAUACAUCGCACAUAGCCACAUGUGCAGCUACAUCUCUUUUCAAUCCAUACCACCAAUACUUCCGCUUCAAAUCCUGAUACAUCUUAGUACUACCAGGAUGAAUAGAAUAAUCUGAAUCAUGGGCCUCCUUUAAAAUAGUCUCUCGAAGGCUUUCAAUAUCAGGAACACAUAUCCUGUUCUUGAACCAUAUAGUGCCUUGCUCAUCUUCCGUAAAUUCCAGAACUCGACCUUCAGUAAUCAGAUCCUUAAUCUCUUGUAUUUUUGCAUCACCAAUUUGGCCUUUGCGAAUUUCUUGCUCCAAAGUAGGUUCCACAUCAAUAGUAACUCCUUCAGUAUGAGCAACUAUCCCCAGGUUAAGUCUCCUGAAAUCCUCAACAAUCUCAUCAGGUAGCUGGGCAACAAUAACUGAAUAAACAUGCUCCUUGCGACUCAAGGCAUCUGCAACCAAAUUUGCCUUGCCCGGGUGAUAGUGAAUCUCCAAUUCAUAAUCCUUAAUAAGCUCCAACCAACGGCGUUGCCUAAGGUUGAGAUCCUUUUGAGUGAAUAUAUACUUCAGACUCUUAUGAUCCGUGUAUACUUGACACUUGGUCCCCAUGAUAUAAUGUCUCCAAAUCUUAAGCGCAUGCACAACGGCUGCCAAUUCCAAGUCAUGAGUGUGGUAGUUCAAUUCAUGUUUUCGUAACUGACGCGACGCAUAGGCGAUCACAUGUCCUUCUUGCAUGAGCACGCAUCCUAAGCCUUGGCCACACGCAUCACAAUAGGUAUCAAAUCCUUUCUGUAGGUCUGGCAUAACCAAUACUGGUGGCGACAUCAAUCUUUUCUUCAAUUGAUCAAAGCUGUCUUGGCACUUCUCGCCCCACUUAAAUUCUCUGCCCUUCUCCAAAAGUGAAGUCAUAGGUUUAGCAAUCUUAGAAAAUCCUUCAAUAAAUCUCCGAUAAUAUCCUACAAGUCCCAAGAAACUCUGAAUCUUGUAGUGGGUAUGCUCCACACCACUAUCUCCUUGACUUUAGCAGGAUCCACUGAUAUCCCUCCAUUAGAAAUGAUAUGUCCAAGAAAUGGCACCUUGCCAAUCCAAAACUUGCAUUUGCUAUACUUGGCAUAGAGUUGAUUAUCUCAUAGCUUCUAUAGCACUAAUCUCAGAUGUUCCUCAUGAUCGCUUCACUCUUAGAAUAGAUAAGGAUAUCGACGAUGAAUACUACGACGAAUCUGUCCAAAUCAUGAACACCUUAAUCUUCACAUCCAUAAAAUAGGCUGGUGCAUUAGUUAGUCCAAACGACAUAACGGUGAACUCAUAUAAUCCAUAUCGAGUCGAGAAAUCCGUCUUGGGAAUAUCUGAUGGCCUAAUCUUCAUUUGGUGAUAACUCGGCCGGGGAUCAAUCUUCGAGAAUACCCUAGCAUCUCUCAUCUGAUCAAAUAAAUCCUCAAUGCGGGGUAACAGAUACUUGUUCUUCAUGGUAACAUCAUUAAGAGAUCUAUAAUCCACACACAUUCCUUGUGAUCCAUCCUUCUUCUAUACAAACAAGAACUGGCGCUCCCCAAGGUGAGGGUCUCAGACGAAUGUACUCAGCUUCCUAUAAUUCCGUUAACUGCUUCUUAAGUUUCUUUAGCUCUUCUACGGACAUCAUGUAUGGCCGUUUAGAAAUAGGGGCAGUCCUAGGUAAGAGAUCAAUGACCAACUCAACUUCCGUAUCUGGUGGCAUCCCUGGUAACUCCUCUGGAAAGACAUCCAGAAAAUCCUUAACCACACGGAUGUUGUCACCAACAAACUUCACAUCGACUAAGAAUGCUGCUAAUCUGAUGGUGGUAGUUACUGCAACUUCAACUUCAAAUCUUUGUCCUUUGGAACUGGUGAGUUCUAUGGUUCCCUUAGCACGGUGUAUAAACUGUCUUUGCCUUUCUUAACCACGACAUACCAAGGAUCACGUCUAUAGUGCUCUCUUCUAACACUAUAGGGAUAAUCCAUCUGGGUUAGAAACACAGGGUAAGAAAGGAAGAAUUGUAGACAAGGCGAGUAGUUACGAGGAAUGUUACUACGGGGGAUUUAUUAGCUAAGCAGAUUAAUAUUUCACCUACUAUAGCUAAUUCAAUACCUUAUGUUGGUACAUGCUAAGAUGUCCAUCUAUAAUAAUUCAAUCAAUCAAAGAAGCAAAUCAGACAUUUAGCAUCAGCACAAUCAACCAACAUUUUUUUAAGAAAAUAGUUUUAACUUUUGUUUCGGGUUCCCUAACUCUUAAGAAUGUCAUAGGGUAGGAUUCCAAGGUUGAAAUCCAUCUUGUCUCAGAGUAGAAAAGGUAAGAAUGAUCAGAGUAGAACAGUAGAAGGUGAGAUAGGAUCAAGAUAAGGUAAGUAUGGAAUGAAUCAGAGUAAGAUAAGUAGAUAAGGGUUUUGUCCAUUUCUAUCUAGGUUUCGUCCUACAGUCAACAUUUCCUCUGAUACCACUUCUGUAACACCCGGCUUUAAGGAACAAAGCCUGGUGCAUCUCAUACAUGCGCCAAGAAGACAACAUAUAUAAUAACAGAGUGUAUAGAGAUAAAUGUCACAAAACAUCAGAGUAUUUAUUACAUAGCGGAAGACUUAUUACAAAAUAAAAGAUAAAUAUAAAACGAACUAAGGAUCGUUGGCGCCAAUGUCAACUGAGAAACGCCACCUAGAUCAGAUCAUACUCCUCGCCUUGUGGCUCCUCCUGAACCACCUGCUCUUCUCCUGUGGGGGGGUGUGAGACAGCAAGGGUGAGCUCACACAUGAUCAUCGCUCAACAAGUUGUGGGGAAUAAUGUGACAUGAACUCACCAAAGGUGGGAGCUCAUGGAGUGUAAGGCUUAUCAAAGAGAAUGGUUAAAGCUGAGCAUUGCUUUUAAGUGUUGGUCAAAAUUUUAUUAGCAAUUACUAAGUGUAAGUAAAUACCAAACCUUAAUAAAUAAUAGAACAAAAUUAAUAGUAAACCCAUGCAAUGCAAAUGACAAAAUUGAAUUUAAGUUCCAUAAUUUAAACAUCAGAGAGUCCUGAGCUGCUCAUGACCGUGAGCUCGGCUAGUAUACCAGUUUUACACUCUGCAGAGGUUGUACCCUUUACCCACAAGUCAUGUUACCCAUCUGCCAAGGGGUCGCGAAUCCCAUACACCUCUACCUAGGAAGCGCGGCAGGGCAACACUACGAGGCCUUUACAAAGUUCCACUAGCUUCCGAAAACCCGCUACAGUUUAUGGGAAGAUCCAGUACAGGGUUCCUGGCUGACCGCCAUCGCAGCAAAAUCAACCAGGGACCUCCCCGCACUGACCUCUCCCCUACUGCCCUUGCCCCUUUCGGGUAAGGUAGUCUUCCACUAGCUUUCCUAGUUAAUCAGCCAAGGGCGUCCCAUUAAACCCUUGUGGUGGCACGUGGUUCUCAAGUUAAGCUCUAUGUUCCAAUUAACAUUAAUGAUAACAACAUGAACAUAAACAGAAUAACAACAAGAAUUGGAACAUAGAGGUGAUAAAUGAUUAUCCCAAAACCAUAUAAAGCAAUAGCAAACUACCCAAGUGAUUCAGGGGUAAACAAGGUAAUGAGAUAAACAAUCUAGGGUGACCUAUUGGGUCCCAUCAAAAUUAACCUAUGCAUGGAUAAGUGAUAUUAAAGAACAUUAUUGGGUAAAAAGUGGUCAAGGGCACAACUUGCCUGGCACUUGAGAUUCCAGGUACCGACUUGCUUUUCAGAUGACACGUGUCCUCGCGCUAGUCGUAGCAAUACAAACAAACAUGGUAUAGAUAAAAUUAACAUCACACCAAACAUAAGAAUAUACUGCAUAAUAAUGAUCUACGCGUUGCUACGAGACUAACGCAACUUGAAUGGAUCAAAUCGGAGUUAAAACGAAGAAAUUAUGAAUUUCCGAAGUUAUUAGGUACUUCGAAUAGAUUAAUUCAAAUGAACAAUUUUAAUUCAAGUUUCAAGGCUAAAUAGUGUUACUAGUUGAUAGACAAUAUUAAAACAAAAUUAUAGGAACUGGAAUGGGUUAAAAAGGAUUUAGUAUGCAUUUUCUAUGAUUUAUACAAGUUUCUACCAUUAUUUUUGUAUUAAAAAUGAAUUUAGAAAGAAUUUCUCUGAUUUUAUUGAUUCCUGGACUGGGCGCACUAUUACAGGAAAAGUCAGGGGCCAAAACAGAAACCUUUCUAAGACUCAGGACGCUAUUGCACGGACGGCGGGUUAGUUUUUAAGUUCUACAGGGUUUCUUUUGCAAUUUGACCACGGCUAAAGGGUACUGGCCGCCUAGAGUCAUCCGAUCCGGAACCGAGGGCCCAGAUCAACCUAUUACUUAACCGAACCGGUACGCGGUUGUGGUCGUCGGAUUAAAAUCCGAUGGCCCCGAGAGGCACACGCCUACACCCGAUCGCGAACACACGCUAGAGAUCCAAGGGUUCCGAUCUUAUUUGGCACACAGGAUACCCAUUCCGAUCCAAACCACCCAUAGGCGAUCGGACGGCCAGAGGGCCGUCUUCCUCCCACGACACUGAUACACGGCAGCGUAGCCCACUGUGCGGCGGCGACACCUCACCGGAGAUGCACAGCAACAAGCCCGACGACCAAACCAUCCCCGCGAGAACGCGCAAAAUGAAAUUCGUAUAUUCGCGAAUCUGAUAGAGGGUGCCUUACCGCCAAUGGGGAUGCGAAGGUGCAUAGCCACGACGCACGGCGGAUCUGAAGUGACCGAGCUGCGCCGACAAGAUAUUCCUUCCCCACCGCCUGUCGAUUUAGCCAUGUGAGGCCAAGGUCGCAUGCAGAGGACUCCCGCGAGCACCCGGAUUCCAGCAUGGAGUCCCAGGUAGCGGUGACACGAGGAUCAGCGCCGGCAGCUUGUUUCUCUCCCUCACUCUCUCUGGUUGCCACCCGCCAUAGAUACGCCAUGGACGAGCAUCCUGGCCAUGCCCGCGUUAGCGGGUGACGAAGGCUAGAGCUUCCCCGAGCGUACCUGCCACCCGCUCGAUCCCGUCGAUGGAGCCCGAUGCGAAUUCCCCAAUGGCGGCGGAUCUGCUCAACAAUGGUGGCGGCUCUCUGCGCAAUCUGAGGAAGCGGCUAGGGGAUAAGAAGGGGAGAGGGCUUUAGCUCGCCAUUUAUUGGCCGAGUGUGCGGG